rnacentral:lncRNA from 1 species
AUGGGACUGAGAGUACUAGGUCACUGCUUGGCACAUUGGAGAGGACAAAUAAAUGUUGAUCUGAACAGUUUUACUCCAUUCACUGCUAAAGAAGUGCCUGCUAUGCCCCAGGUAGGGAAGGAAGCAAAGGUAUUAUUUUGGAGAAACCAAACAACCUCCCUGGAAUAGUGCAAUGUUGUGAGAAGCAGAGGGACUGGAUACCAACCACCUGAGUCAGAAGGAGGCAGCCCAGAAAGGUAGCACUUCAGGAG